GGAAAGUCUAUUAAAAAAAAAAAAUCAGAAGCAUCUCUCUGAGAAGCCCUUUCAAACAAAAUCAAAACAGGACCAGAGAAUCUCAGACUGUCUCUAAUAUCCCAACUGCGAGGCCCGCGGGCUGUGGAAUCUCGCACGUCACCUGGCCCCAGCAGGGCAGCCAGCUGAGAGGUUCAUUUUAUUUUAUUUUUAUUUUAUUUUUUGAAGUUAAGGCUGAAUCUCGGCUUCAGUGCUUUUUGGCAACGUCUCCACUGACAGGAACCAGCAAACUUCAGGACUCAAAUGAGCGUCUUAAUUUAUUGAUGCAAAACAGGUCUGCUUGUCGCCCCCAGUUCUCGGCGCGCUCUGUCCCCCACGCCCCCAGCUUCGGUCCCUUCAUUUGAUCUCAGGUGACUAUUUGGAAAGUGUAAAAAAUUCCUAAAGCACCCCUGCCCCACACGAAUCAAUUCAGAGAGAAACACCAUGCCCUGUGUUUUGUACAUGCUAAGCAAAUUCACAGCUUGAGUUGCUGGGUUGUUUUCUUCGCCAGGUUGCCCUAUUGCCUAGCAGGCCUGGCAGUGUAGAUGUGACCUAGAGAGAAUCAACGACUUUCUCCAGAAUUCAAGUGUCUGGUUCUUCACCGGCCUUUGAAUCUGCCAGAUCCAUCCUCCCAGCAGACGCCACAUACAGGUGACAUCCAAUGUCUUCUCACCUUUCGCAGACAUCCUUCUGAACCACUUGUGCCCACCCACUCUGCCCACUGCAUUGUGACCCACUUCCAAACCUCCUGGAUGACUUGAAAUCAAUGCUUACUGAGAACAAAGUUGCAAAAGUAAUACGGAAUUUCUUAACUUGUAGUAGAAAAUGUGGAGUGCUCAUGAUUAUAAGCAUCACGAUUCUAACCUCUGAGGGGUCGAGAGGCAUCAAAGAAAACAGUUUACGAGCUGAGACGAGGUCAUGUAUGAACUCCAGAGACGGCCAGUGAAAGUUGUGAAGGAGAUAAAGCAAAAUGCCCCACCAAUUUUGACCACCUUCACGAGGAGAAUCAGAGAAGGCGUGAAUUCUGAGCAUCUUCACCAGGAGAUCCAUGGCAGAUAACACUGGAAAUUGGGAAGAAAUCAACUGAAAAAACAAACUUACAAUGCAUUUAGAAAGAAACAACUGUUCUUUUGCUAAUCUACGUUUUAAUCUCAAAGAUGUGAAGACGAAAGUGGAGAGUGAUUAAGCCCUGAAAGUCCCACUUCCUGUGAAAUUUCUCAGCACCAAGCAAACAGUCCCUUGCUCUCCAGAUGCGCUAUAAGAUACAUCCUGCAUCUAGCAUGUUGAAUGAUCUCCAAAAUCUCUGAUGCCUGAGCCAUGUCCUAUUGUCCAGAUUAAGACAUUUUUCCUUUAAAGCAGUACAGUAUAAAGGAUAUGGAGCUGUCAUAUUGACAGUAGUGGGCUGGGAGACUUCUGGCUCCAGCACAAUUCACUACUUGUGGAGAGCCAGGGCUAUUAGCUGCAGUGGUUGCCUUCAAGAAGCCUCUGAAGAUGGAAUAUUCUGGAGAUGUUAAGAGGGACACCCUUUCUGGUUGGAGGAAGACCAUUUUUAAGACAAAAGAAUAUGGGUGGCUGCGCUCCUCUGCUAGGACCUACACCAGAGUUAAUAUGAAAGCUUCACAUGUGAGAUAAAUGCACUCAAAGACUCCUCACAAGUAGCUCUUUGGAGCUUCAGAUGUGAAAUGGAUCAUUCCUCAAUCUGUAAUAGACCCUUCUGUGAAGCUCUUCAAUCAAACCUGAGAAUUCAAGGCAUUUUGUAGCAUCCUAAACAGAAGGAUAUUGAAGGGAGCUGAUUCUGCUUUGAUCCUUGUGCUUGUUGUCAAAGCGCUUGGGAUUGAAGAGACUGUUGGCUACAAUUGACUGUGACAAUUAGGAGAUGAUCAGAGCCCUAGAGUGGAGCACUUAAAGGGUUUGCAUUUAAAACAUUCUUGGAGCACUAAUUGUAUAAAAUUCUGGUAACUGCACAUUUUCUUUUUAGAGAGGUAAUGAGUGAAUGAAUGAAAAGGCAGGGAUUAUUUGCCAUUCUAAGCGGGGAUUGUCAGAACAUUUCUACUUGACUGAAAUUGUUUUGGAAGGUGAGCUGGAACAAGAAUCUUGCAACUAAAAUGAAGUGACUCUGCAUGUGGUUCUUGGGUGUUUCUCUUCAUCAAAGAAUUCUGCAGAACUGCUGAAUUACAAGUUGAUUUAAAUUUUAUUUAUGAGAGAAUAUUUAGGUGAAUCCAAAGAAAACAUUUUAGAGUAUGCAUAUUUGACUCUUAACAAGUAAAUAGGAGUCUUUGAGAGCUCAUUUGGAACUAUUUGAAAUGAGUUUUCCUAACACCAACAUGGUGUUUUUUUCAAUAUACAAAUUGCCAUGUUCUGACAAAAUAAAUUAUUGAAAUGCUUUGAAAAGUUUUUGGAAAUGUACCCAAGGAAACAAUAUGUAAAUUGUUUGAGUUAAUACACAUGUCAAUUUAUCAAAAUGCUGCCACUGAUGUAGAGAAUGUACUUGAGGACACGGGGAGGGGGAAGGGUAAACUGGGACGAAGCCAGAGAGUGUCAUGGAUUUAUAUAUACUACCAAAUGUA